AUUCUCCCACUUCCCUUUUCAAACCCUUUUCUUUCUCACAUUUCUCUUCCAAACCCUUGCCAUGCGUCCAUCGAUCGUGGGUGAAGAGGUUGUCGUGGUGUAGAUCUAGCCUCCGUGUAGGUUUGUUCGUACAUGCAUCCCAUCAAUCUCCCGGAUUUGCUGCACACCAUCAGGUCCAUUCUUGGCCCAGAUCUGCUCUGCGUCUCAUCAGUCGCCCACGUUUCAUCAGUCGCCCGGAUCCACUGUUCGCUGCCGCACCCAGUCGCCCACAUCUCAUAUGUUGUUCGCGUGUCUCUACCGUGCGUGCCAUCAGGUUCGUUCUUCGCCAGCUGCUGCCAACCCACGUCUGUCAUGGAUCUUCGUCCGUGUUGAGCUACUAUCAUUCAUGGGUGGAUCUCGUCUGUUGCAUAAAAAAAAGGAAAUAAAAAUGAGUGCAAGCCGACGAUGAAGAUAUACAUUCAUCUUUUGGAUGCAUUGCUGAGUGAAAAGAGGUUUUUAGGUAUUGCUUCAAGCAGUAGAACAACUAAUUCAAGAUAAACUAUCGGAAAGUCUAUCGUCAGAACAAUUCAUCUGGUUGUAUGCAAUUAUGACCUUUGCCACAGUAGUAAAACUUCCCCUCUGGUUAUACUGCAAAAACUCAAGAAAUGAUCUAUUGGAUGCAUUGCUGAGUGAAAACAGGCAUUGUGCAAGAAUAAUCGUGAUGAUGCUGCACACAAGCUGUUUGUCGAAUUGUCAAGUAAGGGUUGUUCACCUGACGUGGUUAGCUAUACGACUAUGGUGUCUUUACUGUGUGAAGCAGGAACUGAGUCCAUGAAUCUAGAGGUAUAAGAUUGAAUGCCCAUGUGACAACUUUUGAGAUUUGAAGUCAAGUUCAAGGUUGUCACACCCAGCCCGAGCCUGCACCCCUGAGCCCAAGGAGAGGCAUGAUAUUAACUAAUGCUACUUUGGUUAACUUACUAGUUUCCUUUAAUAACCUUUCUUAUCACAACAGUGGG